ensembl:rRNA 5S_rRNA 5S ribosomal RNA
GUCUGUGGCCAUACCACCCUUAACAUGCCUGAUCUUGUCUGAUCUUGAGAACCCAAGGGUCGGGCCUGGUUGGUACUGGCU